CCCGCGGCCUAUCAGCUUGUUGGUGGGGUAAUGGCCUACCAAGGCGACGACGGGUAGCCGACCUGAGAGGGUGACCGGCCACACUGGGACUGAGACACGGCCCAGACUCCUACGGGAGGCAGCAGUGGGGAAUAUUGCACAAUGGGCGAAAGCCUGAUGCAGCGACGCCGCGUGAGGGAUGAAGGCCUUCGGGUUGUAAACCUCUUUCAGCAGGGACGAAGCGCAAGUGACGGUACCUGCAGAAGAAGCACCGGCUAACUACGUGCCAGCAGCCGCGGUAAUACGUAGGGUGCGAGCGUUGUCCGGAAUUACUGGGCGUAAAGAGUUCGUAGGCGGUUUGUCGCGUCGUUUGUGAAAACCCGGGGCUCAACUUCGGGCU
rnacentral:rRNA from 1 species